rnacentral:lncRNA from 1 species
AAAACAGAUUGACAACCAAAACAAUGAGCCCAAUUUUGGAGGAAAACACUUCUAUUAUUUAACUUAAGUUUUACUAAGUAUAUUUUGGAAAUAACCUAUACGAAAUAAAAUAUUCAAGUAAGAAAUUCCCUAGAUGUAUGCAAUUAUAUUAAUUUUUUUCAUGAGGUUAAGGUUAUUUAUUUUUUAUGGAUGCAUAAUAGAUGUACAUAGUUUUAGGGUAUGUGUGAUAAUUUAAUACAUUCAUAUAAUCUGUAACGAUCAAAUCAGUGUACUUGGGAUAUCCACAUCUUAAACAUUUGUCUUUUCUUCAUGCUAGAACCAUUCCAAUUCUCUUCUACCUAUUUUGAAAUACAGUACAAGCUAUAGUCAUCCUACUGAAGAUCUUAAAUCCUUUGAAAGAAUAAUUACCUUUUUGAACAGAGAACCAAUUUCAAAAUAGUGUGCACACACUUCAACUUUAGUGGAGCAUGCAAAAUAAUUAACUCUCUCGAAGAUCUGCAGUAUAUGAUAAAAUAUAUAAAGAUGCAUAUAUCAGGAGGCUGAGGCAGAAGAAUCGUUUGAGACAAGGAGUUUGAGACCAGUGUGGGCAGCAUAGCAAGACCCCAUCUCAUUCAUACAUAUAUAUACAUACAUAAAAUUCUUUAAAAAGAUGCAUAUAUCUAAUUAUAAAACAGUUCCUUUUAGUUAUA